AGUAAAAGAGUAAAGAGUAUUGAUCAACAGCGAAUAUACAACCUGCGAGAACUCCUGUACCAAGUGACCUAAGCAGCAGCAUCACAGCCACAACUUCACGUACGACAUGUACCUCAACCGGCUCUGCAUCAUCGCCGCAACUUCUUGAUACAAUAUUUCAACUAUCGUCUACAAUUGACUACAAACUGGUAUUCUCAUUCUUGUG